CCCCAGACUCCUACGGGAGGCAGCAGUGGGGAAUAUUGCACAAUGGGGGAAACCCUGAUGCAGCGACGCCGCGUGAGCGAUGAAGUAUUUCGGUAUGUAAAGCUCUAUCAGCAGGGAAGAAAAUGACGGUACCUGACUAAGAAGCCCCGGCUAACUACGUGCCAGCAGCCGCGGUAAUACGUAGGGGGCAAGCGUUAUCCGGAUUUACUGGGUGUAAAGGGAGCGUAGACGGCUGUGCAAGCCAGAUGUGAAAGCCCGGGGCUCAACCCCGGGACUGCAUUUGGAACUGUGUGGCUGGAGUGUCGGAGAGGCAGGCGGAAUUCCUAGUGUAGCGGUGAAAUGCGUAGAUAUUAGGAGGAACACCAGUGGCGAAGGCGGCCUGCUGGACGAUGACUGACGUUGAGGCUCGAAAGCGUGGGGAGCAAACAGGAUUAGAUACCCCCGUAA
rnacentral:rRNA from 1 species